CAUGGUUAUAUUCUUAACCCGAUAAACACUACUACGUAUGGUACCAUAGUGACCUUCACGUGUACUAACGGAUACACACUGACAGGAUCGAGGGUUAGAAUGUGUGAUGUGAUCGGCCAUUCCGUUGCAUAGAAUGGGACCAUAACGACGUGCGUCAUUACAGGCUGUGGACCUCUUUCGAAACCUGACAAUGGUGAUGUGGUAUUAAAUGCUGGUACAAAAUAUGAAGCUGUUGCUAACUACAGUUGUAACGAGGGAUUCAAACUGGUUGGUGAUACAUCUAGAAUUUGUCAAAAUACAGGCACGUGGUCUGGGUUACAACCAACAUGUGCUGCGAAAGAAAGCCAAAUAGUAGUGUGUACUGCAAAUACCGAUAGUCGAGUUAUGUACUGGGGUGAGAUUUUGGCGGGAGAAAUGCGAGUGAAAUCGUGUGAGGCCAAUUUUACAGGUAAUGUAACAAGGAAGUGCCUUGAGGAUGGGAAGUGGCAGCUUCCAAAUUACAACUGUAUCAGAACUGCCGUGAACAACGUGCUUAUUGC